rnacentral:rRNA from 1 species
UACGUAGGUGGCAAGCGUUAUCCGGAAUUAUUGGGCGUAAAGCGCGCGUAGGCGGUUUUUUAAGUCUGAUGUGAAAGCCCACGGCUCAACCGUGGAGGGUCAUUGGAAACUGGAAAACUUGAGUGCAGAAGAGGAAAGUGGAAUUCCAUGUGUAGCGGUGAAAUGCGCAGAGAUAUGGAGGAACACCAGUGGCGAAGGCGACUUUCUGGUCUGUAACUGACGCUGAUGUGCGAAAGCGCGGGGA